rnacentral:rRNA from 1 species
UACAGAGGUCUCAAGCGUUGUUCGGAUUCAUUGGGCGUAAAGGGUGCGUAGGUGGCGCUGUAAGUCAGGUGUGAAAUUUCGGAGCUUAACUCCGAAACUGCAUUUGAUACUGCGGUGCUUGAGGACUGGAGAGGAGACUGGAAUUCACGGUGUAGCAGUGAAAUGCGUAGAUAUUGGGAGGAACACCGGUGGCGAAGGCGGCCCCCUGGACCGGUAGCUGACGCUGAGGCGCGAAAGCGUGGGGAGCAAACAGG